rnacentral:rRNA from 1 species
GUUUSAAUUUUCUGCCACCGAAUACAUUAGCAUGGGAUAAUGGAAUAGGACCCUGUCCUCAAAUUUCAGUUGGUUUUGGCAGCGCGAGGACUAGGGUAAUGAUUAAUAGGGAUAGUUGGGGGCAUUAAUAUUUAAUUGUCAGAGGUGAAAUUCUUGGAUUUAUGAAAGAUUAACUUCUGCGAAAGCAUCUGCCAAGGAUGUUUUCAUUAAUCAAGAACGAAAGUUAGGGGAUCGAAGACGAUCAGAUACCGUCGUAGUCUUAACCAUAAACGAUGCCGACCAGCGAUUAGGAGACGUUGAAUACAAAACACCACCAUCGGCGCGGUCGCCCUUGGCGUKYGUGUUCACRCRCGGGMGCGAGGGMGGSUUAKCCCGAUGGSWCCGGYGAAUGACUCCCCUACCARSUUGUGAGAA